rnacentral:rRNA from 2 species
ACGAGAGGCCCUAGUUGAUAUGCUCGGCGUAAAGAGUGGUUAUGGGAACACAACACUAAAGCUAAAGACCCCCCAAGCAGUCAUACGCACCCAGGAGUUCGAAACACCAGCACGAAAGUCGCUUUACCUCGCCCACCAGAACCCACGACAGCCGGGAAACAAACUGGGAUUAGAUACCCCACUAUGCCCCGCCGUAAACUUCGAUGUAUAAACACAACAAACAUCCGCCAGGGGACUACGAGCGUCAGCUUAAAACCCAAAGGACUUGGCGGUGCUUCAAACCCCCCUAGAGGAGCCUGUUCUAGAACCGAUAACCCCCGUUCAACCUCACCAUUUCUAGCUUAUUCCGCCUAUAUACCGCCGUCGCCAGCUUACCCUGUGAAGGCACCAUAGUAAGCAAAAUAGGCAUACCCUAAAACGUCAGGUCGAGGUGUAGCGUACGAGAUGGAAAGAAAUGGGCUACAUUAUCUGAAACAGAUUACCAACGAACGGUCCCCUGAAAUAAAGACCUGAAGGUGGAUUUAGCAGUAAAGAGGGAAUAGAGCGCCCCCUUGAAGCCGGCCCUGAAGCGCGCACACACCGCCCGUCACUCUCCCCGACAACUAACCUAAACCCUAGUACUAUAACAAAACAACACCAACAAGGGGAGGCAAGUCGU